rnacentral:tRNA from 1 species
GCUUCCCUGGGCUCAGAUGGUAAAGCGUCUGCCUGCAAUGCAGGAGAUCCGGGUUCAAUUCCUGGGUCGGGUA